UUGCACCACUGCACUCCAGCCUGGUGACAGAGUGAGAAUCUGUCUCAAAAAAAAAAAAAAAAAAAAACACAAAACUUAAUUCUGCUUCUCAGUUAUGAACUAUCAAUCUUCUCUUGCAAAUAAUUUGUCCUCUGUUCAAUUCUCUUCUUCCCUCAAAUAGAUAUUUUCAUUAAUAACCACUUCUCUUCUUUUUGUUUCCUGUUUUAUAAGCUGUAUUAAAACUUUCUCCAAAAUAGGUGACUGAUACAUUAUUCUUACCAUUUCAUAAACAAAGUACCAUACUUUGUAGGCUUUCAGAGUUACAAGGGAAUAUAAGAACCAGAAAGUAAAAGGAAUCAGAUUCAGUUUAUGAGGAAGAUAAAAUCCAGAAAUCCUAUGUUUGGGAUAUGUAUGGAAAGCCAUUAGGCUACCCUGUCCCUGAAAGAAAAGUAGACCACAGUAACUAUUCCCACAAUAGGGUUUAAGUAUUUUUUUCAUAAAUGGAUUUCUCUAUAGGUGAGUUUGGUUAAAUUCUGUACAGCUUCAAAGGACUAAUGAUUGACAGGAUUAAUAUAAUGCAAUGAAACGUCUCAAAAAUGGAAUGUGGAAACUGGCUGCCAUACAAAGAAUACAAAAGGGCUUUUCACAAGAUGGCGCCGAAAGUGAAGAAGGAAGCUCCAGCCCUUCCUAAAGCCAAAGCCAAAGCGAAGGCUUUAAAGGCCAAGAAGGCAGUGUUGAAAGGUGUCCACAGCCACAAAAAGAAAGAAGAUCUGCACAUCACCCACCUUCUGGUGGCCUAAGACACUGUGACUCUGGAGGCAGCCCAAAUAUCCCUAGAAGAACACCCCCAGGAGAAACAAGCUUGAACCACUAUGAUAUCAAGUUUUCACUGACUACUGAGUCUGCCAUGAAGAAGAUAGAAGACUACAACACACUUGUAUUCCUUGUGGAUGUUAAAGCCAACAAGCACCAGAUCAGACGGGCUGUGAAGAAGCUCUAUGACAUUGAUGUGGCUGGCCAAGGUCAACACCCUGAUUCGGCCUGAUUGAGAGAAGAAGGCAUAGGUUCGACUAGCUCCUGAUUACAAUGCUUUGGAUGUUGCAAACAAACACCA